GAAUGACAGUCAUUGGUGUUGGUGAUGGUGAUGAGGAAGAUAAUGGCUAACAUUUCAGAUCAUCCUGCAAGGGACAGUGUACUUUUAUGCAGUUAUGCAUCUCUAAAGUUUACGCUUUACCCUAUAUCAGGAUAUUGACAGAUCAAUGCUGGGGAUAAAACCUGGCUCAAAAACUUCAGGAGAGUAACAGUGUUUUAGCAUCUAGUCUCUGGAGUGGAAGGAUGCAAAAAUUGGAGAGCUCCUUCAGGCUGGAAGGAAUAUCUACAUUUGGAGGCAUAUCAGUUAUUUCUUUGAUGUUGGAUUCAUCAUUGUGACUUCUUGCAGGCCAGCUCUGAUGAAAGUAACCUGACCCUCCUUGGAGCAUGGAAGCCCUUAGAGUCAGAGCACAACUAAUUACUGGUGUAAUCUGCAUGAAACCAUCUGCCUCAGAUCUGACAGCUAUGAGCUGAGCCCUGACAAAAGCCACAGCCUUAAAUUCUACUCACUCGGAAAGAAGAAUAAAGUGGACUAAAUACCUUGCCCCAUUACAGAAACAACUGUCUCCAAGCCUGACACUUCAGGAGUUCAGUACUGAGCAAUUAGAGUAACAAACAAUAAAUCAGUUUUUCAUGCGGUCCAGCCAGCAUCCAAAAAAUAUUUAAAUAUGUAGCCAAAAGGAAACAUGAAGCACUUAAGUGAUUGCAGGAAAAGCAAUGUAUGUACUACAACAGAGGAAUAUUGCUAUUUGUGGGGAAAGAAGACCUCUGCCAUCCCUUGUACAUAUUCAAAGCCAUAGAAGAACGGAGCAUCAGUGAUGCUAAAAUGCUUGAAAGAAUGUUGUCUCCUGUUCUCCACCCAAAUCUGAAGAAAAAAAAUUAGCUGUUACAGAGUGCAUCUCAAUGCACUUCUAAUAUUUGCACUGUCACUUCCAUUCAGGGUAAUGAUGUGUGCCAUCAUUUGCACAGAUGGCCCCAUGAGAUUUUAGACCGCAACAAGCUGUAUCUUGCAGGGGCUCCAAAAGGAAUUAAAAAGUAAAAAGCUGAAGAAAAGGAAUGCUCUCUUACAGUGAGGAUUUCUCCCCACAGGAAAAUAGUCCUUCUUAAGAUUAAAAAAAUAUGUAUGUGAAAAAAGCAUCAACGUGAUAAAGUGGAUUUAAAAAGGGAUCUAAUAUUUUUUUUAAUGAAAUUCAUUUUAUAUCAUAGUAACAGCCAAGAGAUUGAACCUAUUGAACUAUACACCCAGAAUGUUCCUGCUGGACAUUGACAGUAUGCUCCUAGAAAAUAUUAAAGAAAAAAGUCAUUUGUAAUAUGUAUUUGACAUAUAGUAAUUUUUAUAACCAUUUAUCUAUGCUUCAUGGAGAAAUGUAAAAGACAAACAAACAGCAUUUUCAGUUUAUUUUUCUAAAUAAAUGUGUUGUUUGUAUUAUUUGCAGUCACUUAUUUUAGAUGAUUUUCAUUACCCCAAAAAAGGAUUUAAAGAUGGAACCAAAACAUAGCAACUGUUUUGCCAUGUUAAAUCGUAACGAUUUGCAGACUGAAAGCUUUAAUAUAAAUAUUAUAAUUUGUAAAAUUAUAAAGUAUAUUUAUACUGGCAAAUAUGUAUGGAAAACAAGAAGAGGAGGUAUUUUAACUCUUACUUUCAGUACAUAGGUUAUUUUGAUAGUCACAUGAACGAAUGUGAAGUUAUAUAAUUGGUACAGGUUUUUUUCUGUAAUAAUAUGUUGUAGCAAAUGAAGAUUCAGCUGCCUAGGAAUUCAGAGAAUAAUUCUAAUGUUCAUGAUUUUCCAAAAUGACACACAGUCCCCUUGUCAAGUGAUUCACUUCAUCCAGGAACCACUUUUUUCAUACUGUAACAUACUCACAAGGCUAUUAAAGAUGCCGCUAUUUGGUCAAGAGGAAUUUAGGAACCUAAAGGGUAAGAGAGAUUGAUCAUUACAAUCAUCCACAGAUUUUCAUUUAGGAACAGUCAUUGUAUCUGUCUAAUGGAUUAUUUUGUU